CAGUCGCCGCGGGAAUACAGAGGGUGCGAGCGUUAAUCGGAUUUACUGGGCGUAAAGCGUGCGUAGGCGGCUUCUUAAGUCGGAUGUGAAAUCCCUGAGCUUAACUUAGGAAUUGCAUUCGAUACUGGGAAGCUAGAGUAUGGGAGAGGAUGGUAGAAUUCCAUGUGUAGCGGUGAAAUGCGUAGAGAUCUGGAGGAAUACCGAUGGCGAAGGCAGCCAUCUGGCCUAAUACUGACGCUGAGGUACGAAAGCAUGGGGAGCAAACAGGAUUAGAUACCCCCGUAGUCCCUGUCUCUUAUAA
rnacentral:rRNA from 1 species